rnacentral:rRNA from 1 species
AAAUCCGGUUGAUCCUGCCGGAGGCUACCGCUAUUGGAGUUCGAUUAAGCCAUGCGAGUCGCGAGUCUUAGGGACUCGGCGUACCGCUCAGUAACACGUGGGUAACCUGCCCUAUGCUGGGGGAUAACCUCGGGAAACUGAGAAUAAUACCCCAUAGUUCACCACGCCUGGAACGGUGGGUGGAUGAAAGCUCCGGCGGCAUAGGAUGGGCCUGCGGCGUAUCAGGUUGUAGGGGGUGUAAUGUACCCUCUAGCCCUCUACGCGUACGGGUGUUGGGAGACAUCGCCCGGAGAUGGAUUCUGAGACACGAAUCCAGACCCUACGGGGUGCAGCAGGCGCGAAAACUUGGCAAUGCGAGCAAUCGUGACCAGGGAACUCC